rnacentral:lncRNA from 1 species
AUGGCUGUGGGACAAGGGGCAAGACACAAGCAGACAAAUAAGACCAACUCAGCACACUUGAUUAGGCUGUGGUUUAAUAAAACAAAGCAACCACAACUAACCUGCACCAAACCUCUGAGAGACAGCAAAGUCCAUAAACUGUGAACCUUGCCAUUGUCAAAGGAUGUGGAAUUGUGGGAAAUACAAAAUACAUUGCUUACAAUUCUCUGACUGAUGAAGGACAUGCACUCAGAUGUCUUCAGAAUCAGAGAAUUAUGGAUGGUUGGAACUUGGGGGGGCCCUUGGAUUGUAUCUAUUUCAGCUUCCUCAUUUUUAAAGCUUGAUAAUCUGGGGGUUGGAAAGGGGAAAAUAGUUUGCCUAAGGUAAGAGUUCAAAUUACUGAUAGAGCUUAUAGCUGUGACUUCUAACCUAAAUAUUUUUCUUCUCUUGUGUUUCCAUAUGCGCUAAAAGUUUCACAUAGUUGUGUCCACUUUAGGAAACCCGGAAUUCAUUUAUUGCAUAUGAUGAAGUCAAGGUUGCUAAGUGAUAUACCAAGGAUACUCAAUUUUGUCCCUUUCCAGAAGGAACUACUAAGAUUAUGGUGAGCUGUAGGUUUCAGAUGUAUAUAAAACAAUAUAACAAUAUUAGGCCUUUCAUCUAGACUACAGUUUAUCAGCAGUUUCCUUUCUAGGAAUCAGUCAUAGCUAUAGGCCCUACAGGGACUCUUCUGCAGUGCCUUCACCUCCAGAUAUAUCCAAAGUUGUUUCUAGUGCAUCCUUAAAUUGCAGUGACUCAUAGCAACAAUUGUUUACUGAGCCCUCCUGACUGGCCAUGGGAUGACAGUAGUUAACAACAGGUCAGACAUGGUCUCUGUUGUCAUGGAGCUUAUGCCAAAGUGGCGAAUGACAGUCACUAAGCAUGUCUAUUACAAGUAUAAUUAAUUUAACAAGGAAGACAAAUUAGUCCUUCAUGUGUUCCAGAAGGCAAGGCCCCUAGUGUGGUUGGUCUGGUGGAGCUGAACUGCAAAACUGUGUGGAGAUGCUUAUGUGCUAGACACCAAUUGUUUUAUCCCUCCAGUAUAUCCCCUUUUUUCCUCUUAAGUCCGUGAUUUCUGAAGGAGUUGCUGUGUCUUACAUCAGUGCUUUUCAAACUACUUAAAAAUUUAAAUUUCUAAUCUGUCACAAAUUGACAUCCUGACAAAAUACAAAAUCACCUGCUUGAGUGUCACAGGCAUGUCAAAUUGUUAUAAAUGUUUAGAAAUAUUUAUUCUUGAUUUCGGUACCAGAACUCUUCAGGUGGGUAACACAUAGUUUGUGGGCCAGCUUGGUACACAGGCCCUACUUUGAGUAGUAAUAUUGACCUUGAUCUCUCAGGCCCAGACUUUACACCUGGUGCCCUUGACCAUGGCAAAUUAAUCCAGCAUGGGCAUCUGAGUCAAACUGGGCAGAUGAGACCCUUAUACAGAAUGUUUGUGCUGGACACAGAGAGCAUCAGGCCAGUCUCUCUCCAGGGGCUGAAAGUGUAAGAUGCUGUCCUUGGGAGUCCGUGGUUUCCUUCAGGUGGUGAGCUGCUGUAUAAUGGCAAGCAGAUGAAACCCAACAGUGAGGUAGAGAGCCCUGACAGUGUUUGAGCUCCUGACUCCAGCUUUUCCUAUGGUCCACAUACAUUCCUUCCUUAGGUUUCAGGUGCUAUCCCAGCACCAUUGUUAUUAUUAUUAUUUUUAAAUCCCUACCUGUUUGAACUAAUUCAGGUUGGGGUUCUGUUACUUGAAAUCAAGUGGUUCUAACUUAUGGAAGAUGGUUUCAUCAGUGUCUAGACAUGCUAACCUUUAAAGUCUUAUUGUUUUUGGAGAGUUUCCACCCCUCCAGGUUCGAAGCCAUUACCAGAGUGCUGCUGAAGCCCCUUGCAGAUGUGAGGGGACCUCUCAUGCCAAGUCUUAUGGCUGCAAAGACAUCGCAUUCCACAGUGUGGUGUCAGAGAAGAGUCCUGGGAGAGAACUCUCUCCAGUCACCUUGGGAAGAUUUCCCUCUCCUACAACAGCUAACAUCAGUGGAGCUGCCAGCAUAUUCACUCUAAGGACACAACAAAAGGCACUAUCUUUGAAGAGCGUGAACCCUUACCAGAUGGAAUCUGCUGACACCUUGAUCUUGGACUUCCCAGCCUCCAGAACUGUGAGAAUAAAUUUCUGUUGUUUAUACAUUACCCAACCUAAGAUAAUCUUCUUAUAGCAGCAGGAACCAUCUAAGACAUCCUCUAAGGUGAGAUGCAACUACAACUCUGAUGAUGUGUCUCCCCACCAUGAAAUGAUGCUGCACCACUGACUAGGCCAUCCUAGGGCAUGAUGCUUUGUGGUAGCUGCCUCUGCCAUCUAAAUGGGGACCACUACAGCCACAAGCUGAGCAGGCAUUCUGGUUCCUAGCUUUUCUCAUUGAGAAAUCAGGGCAAGCAGCCUCAUUUACCUAAGUUGCAGGUUCUCUUGAGCUGUGUAGGCCCAUUCUCAGCUCCCUGUGGUGUCUUCUUCAUAUGUACAAUAACGUGUAAACAUUUAGAUGUUUGUCUACAUAUUUGAAGAGGCAUGCUGAUGCUGAAAUAUUUUUCUCUUUUGAAGAGAGGGAAAGCAGCUUGACUGAAAACCAAUAGACUCCCCAACUUUAUAACUAACUUAUAAUCACUUCACCUUCUAGGGCUGGUUUCCUCUACCAGAAAAUGGGGAAAGACAAACUGGUUUCGCAACCAGUGAAACCAUUCAGCCAAUAGCGAGAAAUAAACAGACAAGCUCCUUUAAAAAUGAUACUUAUGAGAAGUCUCAUUUUUUUCCCUUAUGGAUUUUUGAUUUAGAUUUUGUGAAGGUUUUGUGAAACUGUUCUCUGGUUAAAUGUGGUUUGGUUUAAAACUUCAUUCCUGUGUCUGUAAAUAUGAUUUAUAGGUUGAUAGGAAACUCUGUAACUCUCCAGUGGCUGUUGUUUUUACACACUGAAGCAGAAAGGGGAAAAUGUAGAUAGUCAUAUAAAAAAAAA